rnacentral:rRNA from 1 species
UCGAGCGAGCUUGCCUAGAUGAUUUUAGUGCUUGCACUAAAUGAAACUAGAUACAAGCGAGCGGCGGACGGGUGAGUAACACGUGGGUAACCUGCCCAAGAGACUGGGAUAACACCUGGAAACAGAUGCUAAUACCGGAUAACAACACUAGACGCAUGUCUAGAGUUUGAAAGAUGGUUCUGCUAUCACUCUUGGAUGGACCUGCGGUGCAUUAGCUAGUUGGUAAGGUAACGGCUUACCAAGGCAAUGAUGCAUAGCCGAGUUGAGAGACUGAUCGGCCACAUUGGGACUGAGACACGGCCCAAACUCCUACGGGAGGCAGCAGUAGGGAAUCUUCCACAAUGGACGAAAGUCUGAUGGAGCAACGCCGCGUGAGUGAAGAAGGGUUUCGGCUCGUAAAGCUCUGUUGGUAGUGAAGAAAGAUAGAGGUAGUAACUGGCCUUUAUUUGACGGUAAUUACUUAGAAAGUCACGGCUAACUACGUGCCAGCAGCCGCGGUAAUACGUAGGUGGCAAGCGUUGACCGGAUUUAUUGGGCGUAAAGCGAGUGCAGGCGGUUCAAUAAGUCUGAUGUGAAAGCCUUCGGCUCAACCGGAGAAUUGCAUCAGAAACUGUUGAACUUGAGUGCAGAAGAGGAGAGUGGAACUCCAUGUGUAGCGGUGGAAUGCGUAGAUAUAUGGAAGAACACCAGUGGCGAAGGCGGCUCUCUGGUCUGCAACU